rnacentral:rRNA from 1 species
UGGGGAAUUUUGGACAAUGGGCGAAAGCCUGAUCCAGCAAUGCCGCGUGUGUGAAGAAGGCCUUCGGGUUGUAAAGCACUUUUGUCCGGAAAGAAAUCCUUGGCUCUAAUACAGUCGGGGGAUGACGGUACCGGAAGAAUAAGCACCGGCUAACUACGUGCCAGCAGCCGCGGUAAUACGUAGGGUGCAAGCGUUAAUCGGAAUUACUGGGCGUAAAGCGUGCGCAGGCGGUUUGCUAAGACCGAUGUGAAAUCCCCGGGCUCAACCUGGGAACUGCAUUGGUGACUGGCAGGCUAGAGUAUGGCAGAGGGGGGUAGAAUUCCACGUGUAGCAGUGAAAUGCGUAGAGAUGUGGAGGAAUACCGAUGGCGAAGGCAGCCCCCUGGGCCAAUACUGACGCUCAUGCACGAAAGCGUGGGGAGCAAACAGGAUUAGAUACCCUGGUAGUCCACGCCCUAAAACGAUGUCAACUAGUUGUUGGGGA